rnacentral:rRNA from 1 species
GGGCUAUACAUGCAAGUCGAACGCACUCUCGUUUAGAUUGAAGGAGCUUGCUCCUGAUUGAUAAACAUUUGAGUGAGUGGCGGACGGGUGAGUAACACGUGGGUAACCUGCCCUAAAGUGGGGGAUAACAUUUGGAAACAGAUGCUAAUACCGCAUAAAACCUAACACCGCAUGGUGUAGGGUUGAAAGAUGGUUUCGGCUAUCACUUUAGGAUGGACCCGCGGUGCAUUAGUUAGUUGGUGAGGUAAAGGCUCACCAAGACCGUGAUGCAUAGCCGACCUGAGAGGGUAAUCGGCCACACUGGGACUGAGACACGGCCCAGACUCCUACGGGAGGCAGCAGUAGGGAAUCUUCCACAAUGGACGAAAGUCUGAUGGAGCAACGCCGCGUGAGUGAAGAAGGUUUUCGGAUCGUAAAACUCUGUUGUUGGAGAAGAAUGUAUCUGAUAGUAACUGAUCAGGUAGUGACGGUAUCCAACCAGAAAGCCACGGCUAACUACGUGCCAGCAGCCGCGGUAAUACGUAGGUGGCAAGCGUUGUCCGGAUUUAUUGGGCGUAAAGCGAGCGCAGGCGGUUUCUUAAGUCUGAUGUGAAAGCCUUCGGCUCAACCGAAGAAGUGCAUCGGAAACUGGGAAACUUGAGUGCAGAAGAGGACAGUGGAACUCCAUGUGUAGCGGUGAAAUGCGUAGAUAUAUGGAAGAACACCAGUGGCGAAGGCGGCUGUCUGGUCUGUAACUGACGCUGAGGCUCGAAAGCAUGGGUAGCAAACAGGAUUAGAUACCCUGGUAGUCCAUGCCGUAAACGAUGAGUGCUAGGUGUUGGAGGGUUUCCGCCCUUCAGUGCCGCAGCUAACGCAUUAAGCACUCCGCCUGGGGAGUACGACCGCAAGGUUGAAACUCAAAGGAAUUGACGGGGGCCCGCACAAGCGGUGGAGCAUGUGGUUUAAUUCGAAGCAACGCGAAGAACCUUACCAGGUCUUGACAUCCUUUGACCACUCUAGAGAUAGAGCUUUCCCUUCGGGGACAAAGUGACAGGUGGUGCAUGGUUGUCGUCAGCUCGGGCCGGGGGAUGUUGGGUUAAGUCCCGCACCAACGCAACCCUAUUACUAGUUGCAGCAUUUAGUUGGGACUCUAUGGGAACUGCCGGUGAAAACC